UCUACGAGGCGCAGCAGUGGGGAAUAUUGGGCAAUGGGCGCAAGCCUGACCCAGCAACGCCGCGUGAAGGAAGAAGGCCCUCGGGUUGUAAACUUCUUUUGUCAGGGACGAAACAAAUGACGGUACCUGACGAAUAAGCCACGGCUAACUACGUGCCAGCAGCCGCGGUAAUACGUAGGUGGCAAGCGUUAUCCGGCUUUACUGGGUGUAAAGGGGGUGUAGGUGGGAGAGCAAGUCAGAUGUGAAAUUCCAGGGCUGAACCCUGGAACUGCAUUUGAAACUGUUUUUCUUGAGUGAUGGAGAGGCAGGCGGAAUUCCGGGUGUAGCGGUGAAAUGCGUAGAUAUACGGAGGAACACCAGUGGCGAAGGCGGCCUGCUGGACAUUAACUGACGCUGAGGCGCGAAAGCGUGGGGAGCAAACAGGAGUAGAUACCCCAGUAGUC
rnacentral:rRNA from 1 species